UGAACACACACUUUUACCUUCUCGUAACAACAGAAAAAUAUUAAGUUAGUGAAACUUGUAUAUCUAGUGAGCAUCCUUUACAUGCUGAGUAAAGGCGGAAUUUGUCCGGACGUGUUUGUCUGCCAGAGAAGGACUAGGAGCCGGAGACACAGGAGAAUCGAGGCUAUAUAGGAUGAUGAGGUGCCACAAAUUUUGACCCAGCCAACGGCAGUAUUAUUAUUGAGGGAACGGAAGUCCUGCAAGACCUGGAUGUAUCCAGAGCCUGUGCCCUGCUAGGGCUGGUAUAUGCCCUCAACCUCAGCUACCCAAAGGAACUAAAAAAUACUUUUGAGGUGUUUCAGAAAAUAAUUCUUGAGCUGGAUGGUCUGAAAGCUAGGCCGAAGGUAAUGUCUUUAAACAGUAAACUGUUGUAUUCCUGAAA